UACGAAGGGGGCGAGCGUUUGUUCGGAAUUACUGGGCGUAAAGGCGCGUAGGCGGCCGAGCAAGUUAGAUGUGAAAGUCCUGGGCUUAACCUGGGGACUGCAUUUGAUACUGCUUGGCUUGAAUUCGGGAGAGGAUAGCGGAAUUCCCAGUGUAGAGGUGAAAUUCGUAGAUAUUGGGAAGAACACCGGUGGCGAAGGCGGCUAUCUGGACCGACAUUGACGCUGAGGCGCGAAAGCGUGGGGAGCAAACAGG
rnacentral:rRNA from 1 species